CCGAGUCGAAACUGAACUCCAGUUUCAAUAAAUGUUGCAAAGGUUUAUUGUCAAAAAAAAUAAUAUUGGGGUGGCCCCACCGAUGACGAGACCGAUGACGGAAAAUAAGCGAGAGAGAAAACAAUUGAAAAAAUUAACGGUACCGGGCUACGAAAUAUCGGGACGUGAAUCAAAUGCGUGAAAUACCGUAACCCCAAAGAGUACGAACGUGAAAACACAGCCACCUCCUAGAGAGAGCGACGGAUUGAUUUUCUGGCCACUCGCCGGCGCCAUUGCUAUCGACCUACCCUCAGAGCCAGUUUCCUUCCAACUUUUUUUCUUUUACUCUUAACCACCUUUUUAGCGAAUGCCAAAUAAUUCCCAGACUUUUACUAGAAACUUUGGAAUUCCAAUCAUCGAUCCAUUCGUACUGUCAACGAUUGAGGUUCUCCUGGGAUCGCCGCUUUUGACACUAGAGAUUCCACAGCAUCCCGGCAUUGCAGUCUGAUCCACGCAGGUUUUCUUUCCUGCCUCAUUUCGCUGUCAUACCGAAUUUUUAUGCUCGGAUUUUCAUCUCGAAACUCGGAGUUUUCAUUCCUCCUAUUAUCAAUAAUUUCUCGCUCUUGUAUCGUAUGACCGCAUAAAAAAACCGCAAACCAUAACCAGUAUUUUUAUCGGCCGACAAAACGUACUUAUACGAAGCUGCCUGUGAUCGUUGAGAAAUAAAAUUUCUCAACUCUAAUCGUUACAGGGCGGUCAUUGACGAAUUCCAACGCACCGAGUUCCCUGUUCGCUGUUACGGUAAUUUUGGGCCAUCGAAAUAUCAAACUUUCCAACGUCAGAAAAGCCAUCGGUAAACGGUCGUCUCUAUCCUCGAAGGAUUCGACAACUGUCAAACUGAAAUUCAAGUCAAGCGGAGUGGAGUCGCUUGCCGUUUGAAAUAUUCAAAGAAUCGAAAGUUUAGAAUCGUACGAUACAUAUACCAUUCGCACCGUCCAAGGGCUACGGGAUGUGCAAUUUUUCACUCGAUGGAAUUUCCGAAAAUUCAUGCCGCUCGAGUCGAUUAGCCGAAAUUAUUCAUCUGCCCUACGGCCGUGGCGAUGAAGUGUUGUGCACGUACACGUAUUUCAUUAUCCAAGAGUUAGCCAGCUACUAUAUCAAAUUUAAAUCAACACCCUUAUAUUUUAAAUAAUUUUAAAACUUCUCCUAACAUACUUUAAUAACCACGAGUGAAACGAGAUUAUCGUGUUCUCGAGUAAUUAAAUAUCUGUUAAACAUUUUAAACACGCGAAAUUAUAGUUUUAGCAGCACGAUACGAUCAAAAGUAAAAACUGCACGCACGCUGCACGAUCCUCUGCAGCAUAUUAGAAGACAUUACCGUUCCUCACCUUUCACGAUGUGACCGCAUAUGUUCGCGAACCACCACCACCUUUGAACGGAUUCUCAAAUUCGAUUCCUUCGAAUUCGAAUCGGUUGAUUUUCCGUAAAAACUGUUCAGCGAUUUAGAAAAAACGUUCCGAAUAGUUUACAGCGAAUAGAACUAGCGUCAAAUUUGUACACGCCAUUGUACCCCGAUACACGAAUAGGAUCGACCUUUAACACCCAUUCAUUCGUGUAAAGCCUCUCAUAUUUCAGAAUAGUAUAUAAAUACCCAUUCAAUAUAACAUGAAGACCGAUACCAGGAGUUUGUAAAACCAGAUAUAAUCCCGGUGCAGUUACUCAUUGUCAAGGUUGAUCUAUUUGCAACGCCCUUCCGCUCCGUGAAAAAAAUCACUCCAUACAUCGGUUCGAACACUGGUCAAAAUUUUUGAAUAAUUUCUACAAAAAAUCUUUAUCCCUUCGGAUCAGGAAGCUUUCACCAUUUUUCGUGAAAUUUAGUUUUGCGUUUUUACACUCCACAACUUUCGAUGCGAGUGAGGUAACGUCAAACGAUAAAAUUUCCGACGUAAUAAUUCGAGUAGUAACCGAUCAGUUUCUUAUCCGCAAUUAUUGAGUUACAACGUUUUAUAGAAUCAUCAUUAGAGAAACGUGAUUCGAAUGAAUGACGGAAGCCUUACCGAUUCAUCGCGUUCGAAUGGCGAUUAUGAUGGAAAACUACGUCCGUGAUAAAUCCCAUAGGGAGGGGGGUGGGGGUGGGGGGGUAAAAAUUAGUUGAAAUAUCAUACCCGGAAUUCCGUUUCAAUUUCUGGUCCUUUAUCCGUUCAUUAAUUAACUCGUAAUUGGUAGGCAAUUAUUUUCAUCUUUUUUCCCCCUUGGGUGGUCAGUGGUUCAGUUUUCCACUUGAUUGAAUAGAACAUUCGAUGUCACUGGCACUGUAUGCGAGUGAAGGAAUCGGUUAUGAAAUUAAUUAAUUGGUUGGUUGAUUGGUGCGAUGCGAAACGCAUUUUCACGUAUACAUGGUUACGUAUAUCCGACAUACCCUACAUCAUAUAACGAAUAAAAAAAAUAAAUAAAAUAAACCCCCGAAAAAAGACCCAGUGUCAUCGCAUCUAACGGUGAUUCGAUAAUUUCCCGCGACCACUCUAAUAAAAAUAACGCAAGGUAAUAUAAUGACGGUCGUGUCAUCAAAUACGUAAAUUAUCUACCUAAUUGGUAAGCAAUCGAUUUAGGUUUUUCUUUUUUUUUUCUCUAAUUUUUUUUUUUUUCGUUCCUUUAACGGCAAAUAUUUACCCAGCUCAUUAUGGGAUUAGCCACUUCCAAGGCUGUAACGACGAAAAUGGUAUACUCGCGACGUUCAGCGAUCAAAUUUAUGUUAGUAGUAUACAUAUAUAGUAUACGAGUACAAAUUAGGUAUGUAAAAAAAGCGGGUGUGCAUGUGCACAAGAGAUACGUAAAAGAACUAGCUCAACAGCCUACCCCCGGCAAAAGUAAUCAAUGCCCAGAUACUCGAACGUUUCGAAAAGAGAGGAAUGUCAGAAAUUUUUAGCGUGUCACCGAAAUGAAAAUACCUAAUUUCGAGUCUGGUGAUUAAUAUUUUGAUGACCGCAGACCUCUGUGUUUCAAUUAGAACCGUGUAAAGUGAUAAUACAGGUGUUUAUAAUGUAUAUCGUUUCGUUUUCUCAUCAGCAGCUUUUUCUGCAGUAUUUUUAAGUCUGGCUAAUUCGAAGGUUUCUGGCUUCUUCGAGGCUGUAACGAUUGCUUCUGCAGACAUGUCCGAGAAGGAAAAUUCGUAGCAGUUUUAUCGUUAGAAAAAAAAAAAAAAAACGCAUAAUGUCGUAGAUUCUGUUUCGAUGGAAAAAUUUCAUUUUGUACGGGCACACCGAUGAAACGAACGUCGGAUGCGUACUUGUAUAAUCCAGCAAAUUCAUUAUCAAAGUCCAAAUGUGAGCUGUGCGAAAUUUGAAUCGUUAGUGUGGCGAGUCUGUGUCCGUUAAGUAGGUAUAAAAACUACCGUGUAAAAGGUAAUGAGUCGAAAUUUAGGAGAUAAAAUGUACUUUCGAUUUAUAAAACGUCUGACAAUUAUGUGUAGCGAUCAGUUCCUGCGAGUGCGUUUUAUAACAACUCCGACGUAUCAUCAAACACAUAUGGAACAUUGUACAUAACAGAUGUUGUAAGUUAUACCACCUGCGUUUUACACGGUAUAUAUGUAUACAUAAUAAAUUCAUCGACUUUGACCCACUCGAUUCUCGUGAGUCGCGUGUAUAAUAAUUUUUCUACUCAUUUACCCCCCUCUCUUUUUCAUGCGCUAACGAUGAUUUCGUCGGUAGAUGAAAUUACGCCGACUUAAGAAUAUUGCAAAAUUCAUCGCGAGCGUUAUUGCAUAUUUUGAGUAUCCGUAUGUUCGCGAAGACGUGAUCGAAACCCACUACGAUAUAGAUGUUAAACCUACGCGUAGCCAUGGAUAUUUCAUCGACAAAAACACACCGAGCCGCGAGUGAUUCUUUUUUACAAGCGAUACAUCAAAUUUCGUGUACACCGUAGGAAUUUGAAAUCGAAUUUUAUGCCGAAAUUCCUGAGCAGAGAAGAAGUGACUCAUCGUCGUUUAGAAAACCGAUUCGCAAGUCAAUAAGAAACGUGAAAUAUGAUAUUUUGAUCACAGUUCUAUUCUCAUCUGAGUUGAAAAUUAUUGCACACGUUGAAAUGAUUCAGUUUCCAAUUUAUCAUUCUAUUCGGUGAUUCGAUUCGAUCUGUGAUCGUGAAAUAUCCAUUUACUUGGCACCCCAUUUCGGGAAUUUCGUGGUUCUGAAAGUUCUUCCGAACAUCGUUCGGUCCUUGACAUUCGUAGGAGAUCCAGAACACGCGGAAAAAAAACGGAAGAUCGGUUGUCUGCUCUGCACACCCCAUUUUUCGAAAAUAAUAUUUUUUCCGGUUGUUCGGGAAAAAUUCCGAAUGACACGAACGUUGUUCGAAGACAGGCUUUCCUAGAGGACGAGGAACCGGUAUCGCCGAUGAAUGACCAUGAAUCAGUUUGUCCAGUUUUUAUUCAACGAACGUGAAUUUUUCGCAUUAAAUGAAAAAAAAAAAAAAAAAAAAAAAAAUCCACAUGAGAGAAGCUCGCGGUAGAAAAAUAUCCCGGAGAAAACGCCACACCUGAUUCGUUUCGCACCGAAGUUAUAAUGCGUUCACGUUGACAUCGGCCCAGCUGUAAGGAUUUCUCGCCGAACUUCGCAGUUAUAAGGCCCGAGCUGGAUCAGUAUGUGAAAAACAAAAAUUCUAAUCCAAUAAUUAGAAAAUGAAUUUAACAUAAUGCAAUACAUAAUUUUAUACGGAGAGACAUUUAUCAAUUGAUUAAUUUAUUUAUUUCUGUUUACUUAUUAUUAUUAUUAUUUAAUUUUUUUUUUUUAAAUAAAUAUUUAUCAACACCAUCUUGAUGUGUGCGUCAUCUAGAUCCCGACGAAAAAUAAUUCGAAUAAUUCCUGACUAUUUUUCUGUUUUCUGUAAGAUGUAGAAAUUUGUCUCGAUUGCGCGAUCAUUGACAAUGAAUCGAAAAUAACGAUAAAAUGAUAAGACGCCCUUUACCUCGAGACUGCCUCAUUCUUAUAUUAUAUAAUAUUUGGGGAUAAGAGAAACGAACAUGAAAUUGUAACCAACCGUUUGGACGUAGCCUAGCCGGGGUGAAAUUCCAACAUAGAAUUAUAGGUAGGUAAGUAGAAUUCGAAGUAUAAUACAUGGGUGAAGAAUUCAGCGCUUAUAGAUCCAUGUGUAUAGGUGAUGUCAGAGAAAGUAUUAGAAAUAGAACGCUCAGAUCCACCUGUCGGAUAAUCUGUUUACCUGAAACAAUGCCUUCCGGGUCUUUAAGAUCGAGAAUUCUUGGCUCCGUUGACCGAAACAUUAGAUUUUAUCCCGCGGAGGCAUGAAACCAUUUUUCAAAUGCAAAUAAACAAUCGUCUUUUUAUCACCUGACGUAUACACACACACACACACACGCACUAUGCGUCACUCUAGAUAAUUCUACCAGCUGUCAACGAACAAUUAAUUUAUUGUGCCGCCUAAGACUUAUAUCCGUAACAGCUGUGUUGAAAUAUUUUUGCCCAAAAUAAAUACGUAGUACAUACACACAUCCUAUCAUCGAUUAUUUCAAACAUCGUUCCCCACGAUCCGCUCAUAAUUACGGUCAUAAUUAUGGUCAUACGGCGCAUUUUGUUGCUGCCAAACUAGGGAUCGAACAUCGGGGUGCAGUAUGCGCAUAACGUGUCGCGUGGUUGUGCGUAAGAAUAGGGACAACGACGACGACGACGAUAUUGAUAGUAAUGAUGAGCUGACAGUGAUCGGACUUACCAAUCGCGUCGAGCACAUCUCGAAUUCCUCAAGUUUGCGUACGGCGCGACGCGUCGAUUCAGGUGUGGCGUCACUUCCUUUUCCUGUUCUCUUCUGCGGGUGAAUCGUUGGAGAGAAGAUGUCCUCCGAUAUUUAUCCGUGAUAAUUGCUCGAAUCAUGCGAGUGGAACGAUCCGAAUUCUUACCUGCAAGAUGGAAAACCUUCGUGAAAAUACCGUACCACGAUGGUUUUUUUUUAUCUGAACGUUUUUAAUCUACAUUAUUACAUCCCGCUGGUGACAAUCGACUGACGAAUCGGCGAAAGAGUAAUGGACAACGACGAACUGUGCCGUACAUACCCCGCUGCGCGAUCAUCAUUUUUGAUCAUCUAAAAAUACAAACUUCAAUUCGUUACAUCGUAUCGUUACUCUGCAUCUGAAGGAAAUGGAUCGAAAAAAACAUCGCUCUACCGAAUGAAUAUUCCCCAGCUACAACCGAACAAUACGCGAAAUCAAAUCCGUAAUUUUGACGAGUAUCUUCGCGUUAUCAGAGGAUUCCUAAAUUUGAUCAAUAGACAUCCUGACAACCCACCGUUCAUCUUGUCUUUCUUCGGACUCGUAACGAUCUGCAGACUAAACGCGACACAGGAAAGACGCGGUGCUUAAGGGAGGUGGGCACUGCUUUGGAACUGUCUUCGCCACGGAAAAGUAAAGAAAAGAGAGAAAAUGACGCUGAAAGACGAGCUUGGAUUAUAAAAAACACUUUGGAGAGAAAUAUUUGGAGUUUAAGGAGAUUAUAAAGACUGAUCGCGUUUGCGAUGAAUUAAUGAAUCGAACAAAGAACAGCUGAGACGAAGAAUAUUGCCGUAUGUAUUUCGUGCGUGGUAUUUUUUGUUCGUUUGAUAUUUUUAUUUCAAUUCAAUAGUCAGUUCUUCGUUAUCUUCGUGCAAGUGAAAAUCUAGCUCGAUGACAGGUGGUUGGUUUAGCGUGUACGAAAAUUCAAAAUCAUAGCGUUUUCUGUUGGGUACCCGAUUUUAGAAAAUGACGUCGUUUUAAAAUCAAAAAUUGUGAAAAAUCUAUGAUUUUUAUAUUUUCACUGUGCGUUAUACCGUUACCACGAAAACUCAGUGAACCAAAUUCCAUCUCACACUAUGAAUUCAAAGUAAAUGUCAAUUGUAAAUUUCGAUAGACUCAAGUGGCCGACAAUCAGCCCCAUAAAUUCUUAUCUUCCUUAUUUUCAACAGCAUAUGGCAGAAUGUGCUUUGAUUAAAUUUUCGAGUCCUUAGAUAAAAAUCAAAAUUAGGAUCAAACGUACACGUCAAUUCUUCACAUUUCCGUCACUCCAUUUUUCAUGUUCACGCAUAAUUUUCCGUUUGAUUCGGUGGUCGGUUUUCUUUUCGUUUCAAUUUCGAUAAUUUUCGAUUUCGCAAUACGGCGCAUUCUUCCCUAAUUAAUUACACGGUAAUAGAUUUGAAUUGUGUUUUCGUAUAAACCUAGGAGUCAUCGCGUACAUUGAAUGUGAUUACGAGCCGCCCAAACUUCGCAGAUUAUCGCACUGUGUUCAUUUGCAAUAAAAUCAUUAUCAUCGUGUCGCUGGUCAGAUGAACAAUGCGAUAAUCUAUAUACGAUACCGUAAUUACAUUUACGUGCGCAGAUAGCGUCUAGACAUUAAUACACCUAUGCAGAACCACCAAUCACGACGUUCGAUGAUCGCUCUACAUAAGUUCGAAAAUUUUCUAAUGCAGUUUUUAUGAUAAUUGCUGGCUAAAAACUGCAGAGAAAAUUUACGAAUUUCUUCAUGUUUCGUCUUCUCUCAAUUUUGCUGAUCAGCCGGUUCUUCAAAAAUCUAUAAACACAUUUCAAUUUCAAAAUCAAAACCGAUUCUCUUAAAAGCUAACAAUUAGAAGUUUGCGCGUGAUAUUUCGGAAUUACAGGUGUAUACGGUACGUAUCGUAUGAAUCAACCGACCGAAUUUUGCAUGAAUAAUUUCUUCACCGUUUACAAUAUAUCACAUAUAAAAUAAAAAAAACGCGUACGCAUGCAGUGCAGAUUAUGUUCAACUUUGAUUUGUAAUUCAAAUUCUUAACCCCUUGCGAAAACGUCAAAGGAGUCAGGUGUUCGUUUAAUAAUUGUUUCAUAACAUGCUAAUCGCGCGAUAAAUAAUGUAGAUUAAAAAUUCAAUCCAAUAGAAUUAGGGUCGGGUCCGGCAGCGGCAGUGGUUUCGUACACAUAAUUUCGUCGCGUACAGGCCUCGCAUGAUUCGAGCAAUAUCGAACUAAUUAACAUAAAAAAAAGAGAAAAAAAAUUUGUUUUCAUUACAAUAUGCAUCACCUUUGUGCUUGUCUUUUAAUUAUAGUUCUCUUAUCCAAAAUUUACAGUCAGUCAAAAAGUAAAGAAAACGAAAAUAACCAUUUCAAAUUUACGUUUAUAACUAUUGACUAUUGUUCUUUUUAACGAUUCUUAAUCAUUCGACUACUAUGAAUUAUAUCCGCGAAUACACGAUUUUAUUCGUUGGACUAUCGUUUUUUUUUUUAAACAUUAAAUCAUACCUGCGAAUAUAUUUCACCCGAUAUUACUUGGAGUUCAAUAAUACAAUACGUAGAAGUAAGAAAUAAAUUUAUGUCUCUACUGCAGCCAUUGAAAUAUUGAUAUAGGUUUACACUUUAUAAAAUAUGCGUUCUUUUAAUUUUAAGAAGGAAGAAAAAGAAGUCACUUUUUUUUGUGCAGUGUAAUUCUAACUAUUAUAUUAUUACAAAGGAGCUGGAAUUCUCACAAGAAAACAAAAGUUAUUAACCAAUUUCUGUUCUACUGAAUUUUAAAAUUGCGGUAUUACCUUUGUCAGACUGCAUUUAGAUUAAUCAUUAGAAGUUACGACGAAUUAGAUUUAAUUAGCAUAUAAAUACAAUGCGUGUUUUCAAUUUAUCUAAAAACAAUCUGUAAAUUUAUAACUCUACGAACAUGAUUUCAUUACAAAUUAAUCAAGUACCCGAUGUAACAUAAAAAGUAUCUACAGAUCAUAA